AACUCUCUCACCGUAACUCAGUCUCACUCUCUCUCUCUGCCUCUCCAGUCCUCACCGUCACUCUCUCUCUCUGCCUCUCCAAUCUCCGCCUCUCCUCACCGUCACUCUCUCUAGUCUCCGCCUCUCCUCGCCAUCGUUUCCACCCCUACCUUCCUCCAAAUCGCCGAUCGAGUUGAAAACCUCCUCCACGAUGUGCCUGAAGCUGGUGGGCGUGAAGUUUAAAAUGCUGGAUGAGCUCUUACGUGAUGAUUAAUAUUGGAAAUUCUUUAGGAUUGGCUAGGACCAAACUCAAGCAAACUGAGGUGGACUGUGAGUUCCUGAAGAAGUGCUGUGAAACACUGACUGAUGAAAAUAGAAGGCUACAAAAAGAGCUUCAAGAACUGAAAGCAUUGAAACUAGCCCAACCCUUAAUGGAGGACACUUCUAAGCUUACUGAAUGUAGAACCAAGUCAAUGAUGGUUUCAGCAGACGAGGCUCUCCAAAUAGUAUUAAGUGUGGCUCAACGUCUACCGCCUGUGACUGUUCCCCUUCUCGAUGCUCUUGGCAAGGUCUUGGCUGAGGAUAUUCGCGCACCUGAUCCUUUGCCCCCUUAUCCAGCUUCUGUUAAGGAUGGUUAUGCUGUAAUUGCUGCAGAUGGGCCAGGUGAAUAUUCAGUUAUUGCUGAAGCUAGAGCCGGGAAUGAUGGAGUUGGAGUGAUUGUGACUCCUGGAACUGUUGCAUAUGUAACAACUGGAGGACCAAUACCUGAUGGUGCUGAUGCAGUUGUUCAAGUUGAGGACACUGAGCAAAUUGAAAAUGCUUCGGUUGAAUCAAAAAGAGUAAAAAUAUUGGUACAAACUAAUGAAGGUGUUGAUAUACGUCCAGUGGGAUGCGACAUUGAACAAGAUGCCAUAGUUUUAAAAUCUGGAGAAAGAGUAGGUGCUUCAGAAAUUGGCUUACUUGCUGCCGUGGGGGUAACGAUGGUGAAGGUAUAUCCUACCCCGACAAUUGGUGUGCUUUCUACUGGAGAUGAGCUCUCAGAGCCAGCAACCAAGGUUCUGAGUCGUGGCCAGAUUAGGGACUCCAACCGUGCUAUGAUACUGGCAGCUGCAGUACAACAGCAGUGCAAAGUUCUUGACCUUGGCAUUGCUAGGGAUGAUGAAGAUGAACUUGAGAGAAUCUUAGAUACUGCUUUAUCUGCUGGGAUUGAUAUUCUUCUAACUUCUGGAGGUGUUUCCAUGGGAGACAAGGAUUUUGUCAAGCCAUUGCUUGCAAAGAGAGGGACAGUGUAUUAUAGUAAGGUUUUCAUGAAACCAGGGAAACCUUUGACAUUUGCCGAGAUCAAUUUAGAACGAGCAGAGAGCAUAAUGCAGAAAAAAAUACUUGCAUUUGGGUUGCCAGGGAAUCCAGUGAGCUGUAUGGUUUGUUUUGAUCUUUUUGUGGUCCCCACCAUCCGCCAUCUUUCUGGAUGGGGAAACACUCAUCUUUUCAGAGUGCAGGCUCGUCUUCAGCAGCCCAUAAAGACAGAUUUAGCUCGACCAGAAUUCCAUCGUGCCAUUAUUAGGUGGGAAGUCAAUGAUGGCUCAGGCAAUCCUGGUUUUGUUGCUGAAAGCACUGGUUAUCAGAGAAGCAGCCGGCUCUUAAGUAUGAAGGCAGCUAAUGCUUUGUUGGAGUUGCCAGCAAAAGGCGGUGUCAUAUCUGCUGGGACUUCUGUUUCAGCCAUUAUAAUUUCUGACUUAAGCAGUACUUCCAUUUGCAAUAGUUCCUUAUCAUUUGAUUCAACUUCUGCUUCCAAAGGAAGUUCAUCGCAAGAAAUAAUUUCAGAUGAGUCUCAGAAUGCUGAGGUCAGAGUAGCUCUUCUUACAGUGAGUGAUACUGUUGCAUCAGGGGCUGGGCCUGAUCGAAGUGGUCCUAGGGCAGUUUCUGUUGUAAAUUCAUCAUCAGAAAGGUUAGGAGGAGCAAGGGUAGUUGCAACAGCUGUGGUUCCAGAUGAGGUGAGCAAGAUUAAGGAUGUUCUACAGAGAUGGAGUGAUAUUGACAAAAUGGAUCUGAUUCUUACCCUUGGUGGCACUGGUUUCACCCCACGAGAUGUAACCCCUGAAGCAACAAAAGAGCUGAUUGAGAAAGAAACACCUGGUCUCAUACAUGUAAUGACGCAAGAGAGUUUAAAGGUGACACCAUUUGCUAUGCUCUCACGCUCUGCAGCUGGAAUACGGGGAUCAUCAUUGAUCAUCAACAUGCCUGGGAAUCCAAAUGCUGUUGCUGAGUGCAUGGAAGCUUUGUUGCCUGCCCUAAAGCAUGCAUUAAAGCAGAUAAAGGGGGAUAAAAGAGAGAAACAUCCCCGUCAUGUCCCUCAUGCCCAAGCAGCACCUGUAGAUGUGUGGGAGCAUAGUUAUAAAAUGGCAUCUGGUGGCGGCAAAGAGCCUAGUUGUUCUUGUUCCCAUUGAAGAAGUAUUGUGGAGGAGCAGAAAGCAUUUACUAAAAGAUGCAGAAGCUAAGUUCACCCUUGAAGCUCCAAGUCCUUGGGUUGUGAGGGAGGCCAGGUGUUCUCUCACUCUGUGUGUGUGUGCACAUGCAUGCCUUUAUGUGUGUGAGUAGGGGCCAGGAGGAUCACCCUGAGGGAGAGGGGGAACAUUUCUUUUUUGGAAUGCUGAGAUUAUUACAGUGCAAGUACUAUUUGGUAGCUUGGAACAAGAUGCCCUGCUCCUCUUACUGUAGCAGACGUCACUCUGUCGUAUGCAACCACAUAUCCUCAACCUGUCAUAUGAAGAUCUCAUUUUGGUAUGUGGAAUUUUUUUAAUUAAAAGUAUAGUUAUGCCUACCGAUCAAGGUAUAGCCUAGUAGGUGGAGGCUUGGGUUGAGUUGUAGAUCUAGACUUCCUGAAUUCGAUCUCCGCUAGAAGUUUCCCUAGAUUACCUGAUACACAGUUCUACCGGGUGGGAUUGUGUAUUCGUGGUUUACUCUACAGGGGUGGGUCUAGAGGGCCUUGUCUUGGUGAGGUUCCAUGUCAUAAAAAAAAAAUUUAAAAAAAAAAAAAAGGAAAAAGGAAAAAGAAAAAAGAAAAAGUAUAGUUACAUCUUGCCAAACUUUAUAAAAUUAAGGUAUAUCAUGUCAUCAUCAGCUUGGGCUGAAGUUUCCCUUCCACUGCUGAUGCUUUAUGAUUACACUUCUCGCUCUAAUGUUUGUAAAAGUAGAUAUUCUGUAUAAGAUGUCAAUCAUUCUAAUAUCUGUAGAAAAUUAAAGCAAAAGACCAAAGCUGAAAAGGUUUGCAGUAUUUUAUAACAAUGCCACUUGUUUAAUUAGUCUUUGAUUUAAUAAUGCCACUUCCAGUA